rnacentral:rRNA from 1 species
ACUCAAAGGAAUAGACGGGGGCCCGCACAAGCGGUGGAGCAUGUGGGUCAAUUGGAUGCUACGCCAAGAACCUUACCAGGGCUUGACAUGUUGGGGCCCGCGUGAGAGAUCACGUUUUCUCCGCAAGGAGACCCCAUCACAGGUGGUGCAUGGCUGUCGUCAGCUCGUGUCGUGAGAUGUUGGGUUAAGUCCCGCAACGAGCGCAACCCUCACCGGAUGUUGCCAUCGGUUCGGCCGGGCACUCUUCCGGAACUGCCUGAGUAAUCAGGAGGAAGGCGAGGACGACGUCAAGUCCGCAUGCCCCUUAUGUCCUGGGCUGCACACGUGCUACAAUGGCCGGUACAAAGGGCAGCCAAACCGCGAGGUGGAGCUAAUCCCCCAAAACCGGUCCCAGUUCGGAUUGGAUGUCUGCAACUCGACUCCAUGAAGCUGGAAUCGCUAGUAAUCGUGGAUCAGCAACGCCACGGUGAAUACGUUCUCGGGCCUUGUACACACCGCCCGU